UACAGAGGGGGCAAGCGUUGUUCGGAAUUACUGGGCGUAAAGGGCGCGUAGGCGGCCUGUUAAGUCGAACGUGAAAUCCCCGGGCUCAACCCGGGAACUGCGUCCGAUACUGGCAGGCUUGAAUCCGGGAGAGGAAUGCGGAAUUCCAGGUGUAGCGGUGAAAUGCGUAGAUAUCUGGAGGAACACCGGUGGCGAAGGCGGCAUUCUGGACUACAACUGACACUGAGGAACGAAAGCCAGGGGAGCAAACGGG
rnacentral:rRNA from 1 species